ensembl:lncRNA
AUACUGGAGUGGUAGCCUUUCCCUUCUCCAGGGGAUCUUCCCAAUCCAGGGAUUGAAACCAGGUCUCCCGCAUUACAGAUCACAUGCUCCAGGGGAAUCUAGGUGCCAAUUUGUGAAAACACUCAAAUGGCCACAUAGACAGGCCACAUGUCAAGGAGUUGAGUUCAUCUAACAAUCAUAAAAGAAGUGAGGCUUCCUGACAAAGUAAGCUGUUUUGGAAGCAGAUUCCCCAGUCCCUAGUCAAGCUUUCUGAUGACGACAAUCCUGGUUGACAUCUUGACUACAACUUCUUUAGACACCCUGGCCUAAAACUACCCAGGGCUCAACCCCAAUAGGAUGCUUGGAAAAGGCAAGUUUGGAGAUGGGAGUGGUUCUCAGUCAUCUUCAGUGAUGGACCUGCACAGACAGGGACUGCUGGAGUCAGAAGAGUGCUCAGACAGCAUCCCACUCAGCAUCCUGUUACAGAGGAAGGGCUGGAGGUCUGAACUGACACGGACAACUUCCUUUUCCUUUCUUGUUCUGUUUCUGACAGGCAAGAUCUGGCUUCAAUGUUGCCAUUAUACAUCAUCCUCAGUGCUCAGAUGGCCAUGAGGAGACAACAUCGACAGUAAUUAGGAUGCAAAUAUCAAAGUUAGGU